rnacentral:rRNA from 1 species
CAAUAGCGUAUAUUAAAGUUGUUGCAGUUAAAAAGCUCGUAGUUGGAUUUCUGUGCUGGACGUCCGGUCGGCGCCCUCUGGGCGGUUUGUACUUGUGGACGUUGGGCGCAUUUUUUGUGAGGUCGCGGUUCUGCCAUUAAGUUGGUGGUUUUGCGGGCUUGCAUCGUUUACUGUGAAAAAAUUAGAGUGUUUAAAGCAGGCGUUUGCUCAUUUGAAUACAUUAGCAUGGAAUAAUAAGAUACGGCCUUGGUGGUCUAUUUUGUUGGUUUGCACACCAGGGUAAUGAUUAAUAGGGACAGUUGGGGGUAUUCAUAUUUCAGCGUCAGAGGUGAAAUUCUUGGAUCGCUGAAAGAUGAGCUUAGGCGAAAGCAUUUACCAAGGAUGUUUUCAUUAA